CCUACGGGGGGCAGCAGUGGGGAAUAUUGGACAAUGGGGGGAACCCUGAUCCAGCCAUGCCGUGUGUGUGAAGAAGGCCCUCGGGUUGUAAAGCACUUUCAGUGAGGAAGAACGCCUGGUGGUUAAUACCCAUCAGGAAAGACAUCACUCACAGAAGAAGCACCGGCUAACUCCGUGCCAGCAGCCGCGGUAAUACGGAGGGUGCGAGCGUUAAUCGGAAUUACUGGGCGUAAAGCGCGCGUAGGUGGCUUGAUAAGCCGGUUGUGAAAGCCCCGGGCUCAACCUGGGAACGGCAUCCGGAACUGUCAAGCUAGAGUGCAGGAGAGGAAGGUAGAAUUCCCGGUGUAGCGGUGAAAUGCGUAGAGAUCGGGAGGAAUACCAGUGGCGAAGGCGGCCUUCAGGACUGACACUGACACUGAGGUGCGAAAGCGUGGGUAGCAAACAGGAUUAGAUACCCCGGUAGUC
rnacentral:rRNA from 1 species